GAAAUGCGAUAAGUAAUGUGAAUUGCAGAAUUCAGUGAAUCAUCGAAUCUUUGAACGCACCUUGCGCUCCUUGGUAUUCCUUGGAGCAUGCCUGUUUGAGUAUCAUGAAAUCUUCAAAGUAAAUCUUUUGUUAACUCAAUUGGUUUCUACUUUGGUAUUGGAGGUCUUUGCAGCUUCACACCUGCUCCUCUUUGUUCAUUAGCUGGAUCUCAGUGUUAUGCUUGGUUCCACUCGGCGUGAUAAGUUAUCUAUCGCUGAGGACACUGUAAAAGGUGGCCAAGGUAGAUGCAGAUGAACCGCUUCUAAUAGUCCAUUGACUUGGACAAUACUUUUAUGAUCUGAUCUCAAAUCAGGUAGGACUAUCCGCUGAACUUAAGC
rnacentral:misc_RNA from 1 species